ensembl:processed_transcript 9130024F11Rik RIKEN cDNA 9130024F11 gene
GGAGAGAAAGGGCUGAGGACUGGGAGGCUGCGGCGGCUGCUGGCUCCUACAGCCGCUAGCUCCAGAGGAGGCGCGGCCAGAGUCGCGGGGACGUUGCCACCAAGAGCGGGGAAGGUGCGGAGACCCCGGACCGCGCGCAAGAGAAAACGCGGCGGCCGCACAAGCUGUCACCUCCAACCUCUCCCCUCGCGGCUGCCUCUGCCAGAAGCCAGAGCCGGACUCACUGACAAGCCGCAGAGAGAAAGACACUGAGAGGGAGAUGAUUAUUAGUUGCGUUGAGUCAUCAGGCAAAGGGUAAGCUCUGAGGUCUCAGAAGCUCAAGUCAACUCUCUCCUCCUGCUGCCUGACAAUCUAUAUGGAGAACUCUCAGCUCCUCCUGCACCAUGUCUGCCUGCAUGCUGCCACACUUCUUGACACCAUGACAAUGGACUACACCUCUGAAACUGCUGUCAAACAUCAAAGUUUAGAAAAUGGAUCAGAAACUGUCAAACUACCACUGACUUCACCUCUACCCAUGCCAUGUCGGACUUCCAAGGAUGGCCUGGAUGCUUGGAAGAUGCCCAUUCAUUCUCGCCCAGUCUGCUGGCAGAUGGUGCUGCCGCAGCCUGAUUCAAACAGAACCGUGUCUGUGAGGCCUUUCCUGUCAGAGAUCUACCAGGAGAAGCAAACACACUAGGCACACCUUCCAAAGCAAGAGAUCCGCGCCUUAUAAAGGUUCACAGAGGAGUCCAGCAGACCUGGCCAUGGAUACCUGCGGCUCUACCGUCUGAUUUCCUUAUGCACACAAUGGAAGACACAAUUCAACUCCAUCAGAGGAAAAUGCUGGCCCAAAGACUCAUGCAUGCAAAGAGAUUAUUAUGUACCUGAUUAAUGUAAGAUGCCCAUAAUGAUACUAUAUUGCUAAAUCUAAGUUAAUAGACUAAUUUAUAUCUAUCCCAAAUAUUGGAGACAUAAAUCAUUUUUAGAGAGUGUAUACCCAAAUAUUACUGACCCAGGUGGCCUCAUAGCAUCUUAUCAGACGGCUGUCUACUCAAUAUAAAAAAAGUACUUAUCUGAUUGGUUUCCAUUUGGAGUGCAAUCUUAUUUUUUAACUUAAUGAUACCUUAAGGUGUUAUUUAAAAAAAAAUAGACUGGAUUGUAAAUGCAAUGCAAAAUUUAAGCUAUUUUUUUGUUGUUUUCUUGUCUGUUUUUUUUUUUUUUUAAAGUUUAGCUUCUCACUAAUUUUAUUGUAUUGCUAUAGGCCUAGUAAACCCUCCUGCAAAUGUAACUGUAAAAGUGGAGGCUACAGGCUGGCACUUAGCCCACGGGUGGCACUGUGGUAGCUCUCCACAUUUUUGCAUGUUUCUUUCUGUAAUCCUCUUUAGAAUUAAGGUCAGACUUCAGACAUCAAACCAUCCUAGAGUACUUUAUUAUGAUCUUGGUUGGUGGAAAAUGUGUAUUUCUCCUUAAAGCACACCUGAAAAGUGUAAGACUUUAGCAGCCCAUGAAAAUUGUUCUUAGUUGCAAUAGCUUAGCUAAGUGUGUGCUUUGCAGUUUGUGCUAGAAUCCUAAUUUAUGAUUUUGUAGUCAUUUACCAAAUGGAAAGUGGUAACACAUUUAGGGUUAGGACAUGAAACAUCUUAUAAGUGACUUAAAAUGGUAAAGUAUCUGGGGAAAGAGGCCCUCUUUUCUUCUUUCCCUCCAACUUUUCUAAAAAAAGAAGAAAUACAAUCACAUUAAUUUCUUAAGAAAAAAAAACUAUUUAUGGCAAGUUUUUUUGGUAAGGGGAUGUAACAACUAGAGCCUUCAGCCCCUGCUGGUGAGGUUUUAAGUUGGGGCAGUCAUUUUUGAAAAUUGUUGAGCAAUCUCUAGUAAGCUGAAACACACAUAUUUCAUGACUCAGCAAAUCCUCACCAGUAAUGAUACCUAUAUUCAAUGAAAUGCAUUAAAAUGUCUCCUUUAUGCAUAACAAACAAGGGCUGUAAACAACUCAAAAAAACCAGCAGUUGACUAGCUAAAUAAAUUGUAGUAUUUAUACAACCAAGUCACCUGUGCCAAUAAUAGAAUACAACACCACAGUAUACAGCACAGUAGAUGGGGCCCAUGAACAUAGUGUUGACUAGGAGUAGAUGCCAAAGAGCAUGCACUUUGUGGUCCAUCUUACCUAAAAUUCAAAGCCAGGAAAUGCAACCAGCACGUAGCCAUAUAGGGAAGACAGUGCUGGGAAGAACAGAGGCAGUUUGGUAGCACGCACUUUGAAGUGAUAUGGUGUGAACCAUCCUAUGAAAAGACAUCUAGGAUAGAGUUAUGAUAUGAGACUGUGUGCACUUGUGUAUUGUGGCAGAGCCUUUCCCUAAUGAAUAAAGAUUUCAAGGAACCAAUCACUGGGUGAGUAGGUCAAACUUCUAGGUCAGAGAGAGAGGAGGAGGGCGGCAGGAGAAUGAGGACUUCCUUUUGGACAGGAGAGAGCAUGGAGUCCCCGGGGUAGGUGGCAGAUCCUCGGGAAGAUUUAUAACUUAAAUAGCUUACAAAUUUAGGAUGCAUGGAUUGCUUUUUAAAUAUUUCAUGCAACCGUGUAUAUUAUGACAUGAGACUGUGUGCCCUUGUGUAUACCAAUGUUCUACUACUGUGUAAUUAAACAUAUAUAAC